rfam:Felis catus isolate Cinnamon breed Abyssinian chromosome B3, whole genome shotgun sequence.
GCCUGGGUGGCUCAGUCGGUUGAGCGUCCAACUUCAGCUCAGGUCACGAUCUCGUGGCUUGUGGGUUUGAGCCCCACAUCGGGCU